UAUUCUAGAGAAGACUUCGACUUUGACUACAAAACGAAACUUCCAUUCGGAUUGAUCCUGGCGAUGAUGGUGUUGCCAGUGAUCACCGUAGACGAAGAGAACGCCCCUAAAGUGGACGAGGACUUGGACAUACAAAGCUUCGUGGUAAACAACACGAGCGACCUCCUCCGCGAGAGAAUCAACGAAGUUGUCGACGAUUUUAUACGCUGGGGUCUUGUGUAAAAACAUUAACAUAUCAAGGGUCGCCAGAUGUUACCGGUGACGCUAGAUGGCGCCACAGGAGUUUGAGUAAUUACAAGUGCCGCGUGCGCAGCUACUCAUAAUGUCUGACGGUCGUCUAGAAAAAGGAAUACGAACACGUAUUAUUUGUUUUCACUUGUGGAUGUUACAGUCAAUAUAAAAAUAAUAUAUUUUUGUACGCUGACGCGACAGCAAAGCAUAAUGAAAAAUAUGUAUUUCAAUAACACUUGUAAACUACCUAUGCUUAUAAUAAAUAAUUUUAUUUGA